CUCACAGACAAGGGGUUUUGGCUGAAGGACUCGUCGUCCAGUUUGUUGUGGCUCAGGUCCAGCGCGUCAAGGUUGGGUAGGCCAGAGAAAGUUUCCGGAGCGAUGAUUUGGAUGUUGUUCUCUAGAGGAUAAAUCACAUGGCUUGUAAAGAAGUGAGGACCGGCUGAUCUGUCCUCACUUUGCACAAAUGUCCUCACUCCGAUUUAACUCGAAGUGGUCCCCAGAAUGGUAGUUGUAUGAGAGCAUGUUCACACACACCUGCCAUGUCCAGGUGUGUGGUCUCCAGGUUGCGGAAGGUUGGCAGAAUCAGACGUCAUGUUGGUAGCCUAUCCCGGAGCUCGUCCAACAAGGGGCAGAGUUUACGGACAGUUCACGUCAGCGCCGUCUGGCGAGGCUCCACUAACAUUCCCUGCACCUGCAGAUCAGCUGAUGAGACGGAGACGGCCACAGAAUCCAGACAUAUUCCAAAUGGCACACGGGACAACUUGACACUAAACACUGAAACACUCAGUCUACUCCAAGGUUUCUAGGAGACAUCAAAAGAUGGUGUAGCAAAGCUGCUACAGCUCAUCCAUCUGGUUCUGGGAGAAUGGAGCGGUUCUGCAAGGUUUUGGUGUGUUUUUCUCCUGAAAAAGCCUAGAUCUAGCCCAGACACAGGACCAGCACUUGCCAAAAACCGCUGCAGCUCUGAUGUUGUCGGGCUCAUGACAGACCACCUGACUACUCUUCCCCUAAAUGUCAGAGCGACUUCCCGUUCUUGUUAACGCCACUUUUGGACUGUAUUUACUACAGUUUUCAACAGUCCCUGCUGUAGUGUAUCCAAUUCCUUGGACAUUUUUAUGUCCCUAAACCAAGCAUUAUAAGUUUGAUGUGCCCCACGGCUCUUGGAGUACUGCGUAACCAAAAUUAUGUCAGCAAAAUCCCACAAGAAUAUUUGUAUUUGCUGCUCCCCAUCUCAGCCAAGAGUCCCAUGAAAGAUGGGAGAAGGUUCUUAAUCUCCGCAAUAAAAAAAAAAACUCAAUAUGUGCCAAUCCUGUGUAUAGGUACCAGUCUUCAGACAGAUGAGUCUGGUAUUAAAACCAAAGUUAGCUUCAGCCAGCUGUAUAAGUUCAGGGUUUUAGAUUUGGUUUUCAUUGCAUAGGUUGUAAUUUAUAAAACAGAAGUUGUGAAAUUAUAUUUUUUAUGUACAUCCAAAAACAUGCCAUUUUCGCCACAUUGCAUAGAUCUUUUAUAUCCAUUUGAUCCGAUUAUAUAGUCUAAUUAGGGGACUGCCAAAGAAAGUACAGUUCUUCCAGUAGAC